AUGAAACCGAAUGGACGACGAAGAUGGUUUUUUGAUUCAAGGAAGCGGAAAGAAUAUGGCAAAACAAAUACGGUGAGGAGCUUGGCCGUGUCGAUCGGAGACAGUGGUAGUCACCGGCGCCGCGAUUUGUUUGGAAGAAGAAGUGAAUCCACCUUCAUAAUGAAGCUCAAUAGCCACCUUCUAGAACCCUAA